AAGAGAUUAGUUAAAUAUAUAACAUUAGUAUGUCAAACUAAAAUUAUUGGUAUUAUCAAUAUCUUUUA
rnacentral:tRNA from 1 species